AUUGAACGCUGGCGGCAGGCCUAACACAUGCAAGUCGAGCGGAUGAAGGGAGCUUGCUCCUGGAUUCAGCGGCGGACGGGCGAGUAAUGCCUAGGAAUCUGCCUGGUAGUUGGGGAUAACGUCCGGAAACGGGCGCUAAUACCGCAUACGUCCUGAUGGAGAAAGGGGGGGAUCUUCGGACCUCACGCUAUCAGAUGAGCCUAGGUCGGAUUAGCUAGUUGGUGGGGUAAAGGCCUACCAAGGCGACGAUCCGUAACUGGUCUGAGAGGAUGAUCAGUCACACUGGAACUGAGACACGGUCCAGACUCCUACGGGAGGCAGCAGUGGGGAAUAUUGGACAAUGGGCGAAAGCCUGAUCCAGCCAUGCCGCGUGUGUGAAGAAGGUCUUCGGAUUGUAAAGCACUUUAAGUUGGGAGGAAGAGCAGUAAGUUAAUACCUUGCUGUUUUGACGUUACCAACAGAGUAAGCACCGGCUAACUUCGUG
rnacentral:rRNA from 1 species